rnacentral:rRNA from 1 species
GACGAGCGCUGGCGGCGUGCCUAAUACAUGCAAGUCGAACGCAUUUUCUUUCACCGUAGCUUGCUACACCGAAAGAAAAUGAGUGGCGAACGGGUGAGUAACACGUGGGUAACCUGCCCAUCAGCGGGGGAUAACACUUGGAAACAGGUGCUAAUACCGCAUAAUUCCAUUUACCGCAUGGUAAAUGGAUGAAAGGCGCUUUUGCGUCACUGAUGGAUGGACCCGCGGUGCAUUAGCUAGUUGGUGGGGUAACGGCCUACCAAGGCUGCGAUGCAUAGCCGACCUGAGAGGGUGAUCGGCCACACUGGGACUGAGACACGGCCCAGACUCCUACGGGAGGCAGCAGUAGGGAAUCUUCGGCAAUGGACGCAAGUCUGACCGAGCAACGCCGCGUGAGUGAAGAAGGUUUUCGGAUCGUAAAACUCUGUUGUUAGAGAAGAACAAGGAUGAGAGUGGAAAGUUCAUCCCUUGACGGUAUCUAACCAGAAAGCCACGGCUAACUACGUG